CCCCGUCCGAUAUAGUGGUAGUGCGCUUGCCUUCAAACUCUGUGAUCUCGGGUUCGAUCCCCGGCUCGGAGG